GACCCGCCCCAGGGGAGGGGAGGGGUGAACGGAAGCGUGAGGGACGGGGCGCUGGAAGACGCUUGGCGUCAUCAAGAUGCGCCGGGAGAGUUGCGGCGCCUGGUGUCUCAGGGAGGCUUGAGGUUCGGGUAGUCGGUGACAUGGCGGAGGCCGCGGCGCUGGUGUGGAUUAGCGGCCCUGGCUUCGGGUGCAAAGCGGUGCGGUGUGCCUCGGCUCGGUGCACCGUCCGGGAUUUUAUCCACUGGCACUGCCAAGAUCAGAAUGUUCCAGUGGAAAACUUCUUUGUGAAAUGCAAUGGAGCACUCAUUAACACCAGUGACACAGUGCAGCAUGGAGCUGUUUAUAGUUUGGAACCCAGACUUUGCGGUGGAAAAGGAGGUUUUGGAUCUAUGCUCCGAGCACUUGGUGCUCAGAUUGAGAAGACAACCAAUCGAGAAGCCUGUCGGGAUCUCAGUGGAAGGAGACUACGCGAUGUCAAUCAUGAAAAAGCAAUGGCUGAAUGGGUAAAACAACAAGCCGAGCGAGAGGCUGAAAAGGAGCAUAAGCGGCUGGAGCGACUGCAGCGGAAGCUUGUAGAACCCAAGCACUGCUUCACCAGCCCCGACUACCAGCAGCAGUGCCAUGAGAUGGCUGAGCGUCUGGAGGAUUCUGUCCUCAAAGGUAUGCAGGCUGCCUCCAGCAAGAUGGUUUCAGCAGAAAUCAGUGAGAAUCGGAAACGGCAAUGGCCUACUAAAUCUAAAACAGACAGAGGAGCCAGUGCGGGAAAGAGGAGGUGCUUCUGGUUGGGCAUGGAGGGACUAGAGACUGCAGAAGGGUCCAGCUCUGAGAGUUCAGAUGAUGACAGUGAAGAAGCACCAAGCACUUCAGGAAUGGGUUUCCAUGCUCCAAAAAUUGGUAGCAAUGGUGUCGAGAUGGCAGCCAAAUUUCCCAGUGGUUCUCAGAGGGUGAGAGUAGUGAAUACAGACCCUGGAUCACCAGAACAACUGCAGAUCCCGGUGACAGACUCUGGGAGGCAUAUUUCAGAAGACUCAUGUGCUGAGCUGGGGGAGUCCAAAGAGCAUAUGGAAAGCAGGAUGGAUACAGAAACAGAAAAGACCCAGGAGAAGAAGGCAGAGAGUAAAGAACCCAUAGAAGAGGAACCCACUGGGGCUGGACUGAAUAAGGAUAAAGAGACAAAAGAAACGACUGAUGGGGAAAGAGUUGCUGAGGUAGCACCUGAAGAAAGGGAAAACGUUGCCAUUGCCAAACUGCAGGAUAGCCAGCCAGGAAAUGCAGGAAUCUCAUCGUCGCUGCCUGAAUCCUCCGGCUUGACUUUCUUCAUCUGGGAGGACCCUCUGCACCCCCUGGGUUUAGAGAAGAGAUGACCGUUCAGCAAAAGCACCUGAAGACAGCGCUACAGAUGCACGGUCAGCGCCGUGAUUCCCAUGUCUGAAGCGACCCCUGCUGGCUGCCGGCCCGGGCUCAGGGUCCACCGAAGCCAGCCUCCAGCCCCUACUUCUGUGCUUCCUGGAGGGCACUGCCCCGGAGCCUGGGCAGCUGCAGAGACGAGGUCUCACUAUGUUGGCCAGGCUGACCUUGAACUCCGGGGCUCAAGGAUCCUCCCGCCACGGCCUCCAAAAGUGCUGGGAUUACAGACGUGAGCUACUGUGCCCAGUUCACUCACAUUCUUGGUCCUUCUGAAGAGAGGCGACACCAUUUGAAGCUUCAGGGUAGACUUUUUCCCCCUCAUCAAAAAUGAUUUUCUUACAGGGGGCUCUGCUCUUUAGAUAGUGCUGCAACCUCUGGGAGGCAGGAAUCGAAGCCACUAAGUCCCCUGGGGAUCUGCCUGGAAAUAUCUCUCACUGCCUGAGGCCGGACUCUAGGAAGUUCUAAAUUCUCCUCCCACCUUUGAUAAAUUAAGAAAAAACCACAGUGAUGUGGCAAAGGUAGAGGAAGGAAGGGUCCCAUCUCCGCUGCUGUGUCUUCAUUGACCAUGCCUUCCUUCAGAAACCCUUUCCUCUCUCGACUUUUCUCACUUUCCUGCUAUUCUCCCAGGCCCCAGCUGGGACCCUCCGCUCUCCCUACGACUGGGCCCAGGUGGGGUCAGUGGGAUACUCAUCUUGGAGGCAAAGUCUAAGAGGGCACCAAAGAAUUCAGUAAUCAAGAUAAACAAUAUUUUAGUUUAACAUUUUUAAGUGAAAAUUAACACCAAAAAAUCACGAUGAGCAAAAUAUCAAAAUAUAUAUAUAUAUUUUUUGAGGCAGGGUCUCACUCUGUUGCCCAGGCUGGAGUACGGUGGUGCAAUCACAGCUCACUGCAGCCUCGACCUCCCCGGGCUCAGGUGAUCCUUCCACCUCAGCCUCCCAAGUAGCUGGGACUAUAGGCGUGCACCACCAUGUCUGGCUAAUUGUUUUUGUAUUUUUUGUAGAGGUGGGGUUUCACCAUGUUGCCAAGGCUGGUCUUGAACUCCUGGGCUCAAGCAAUCCCCACCUCAGCCUCCCAAAGUGCUGGGAUUACAAGUGUGAGCCACUGUGGCUGGCCCAAACUUUUUUUUUUUGAGACAGAGUUUCACUCUGUCUCCCAGGCUGGAGUGCAGUGGCGUGAUCUUGGCUCACUGCAACCUCCACCUCCCAGGUUCAAGCGAUCCUCCUGCCUCAGCCCCCUAGUAGAUGGGAUUACAGGCACACGCCACCAUGCCAGGCUAAUUUUUGUAUAUUUAGUAGAGACGGGGUUUUGCCAUGUUGGCCAGGCUGGUCUCGAACUCCUGACUUCAGGUGAUCCACCUGCCUCGGCCUCCCAAAAUGCUGGGAAUACAGGUGUGAGCCACUGUGCCCGGCCCCAGACUUUUAAAUAAAUUCAGAAUCAGUCUCUCUCUUUCUGUGACAUUUGUUUUUGUGACAUCAAGUAUUACUUCUGUUUGGACAAUUCACAGAUUUCUCUUUUAAACACUGACUUCCUCUCUUGAGUAAAAGUUGUGGGUCUGCAGCUGCCUUCUGAAGACCCAUGGAGAGGUCCACUCAGGGAGGACCUGAUGCCUUCUGCAAAGAGCCAAAGAGGAGCUGAAGCCUUCAGCCAACAGCCAUGUGAGUGAAUCCUGCAGGUGGAUCCUCGGGCCGCAGGUAAGCCUUCAGCCGACUGCAGGCCUAGCCGACAUCUUCAUGGCAACCUCAUGGGAAACCCCGAGCCAGAACCAUGCAGCUAAACUGUUUCUGGAUUCUUCAUCCAUAGGAACAGUGAGACAAUAAAUGCUUGGUGUUUAAGCCACCAAGCCAAGAUAAUUUGUUACACAGCAAUCUUUCUCUGGAGAGGUUCUGGUGGACGUCUCCAAAGGGCUUCAUAAGUGUCCUUCUCCUAUAUUAUCUGAUGAUGGCCUCUUCCCCCCAUGGCUCCAGGUACCACCUACAUGCUGUGCUGAUGUUGCCCAGGGUCAUGGUUCCAUAACUUCUCCUCCCAGAUUUCCCACAGGCUCCUCAUCACUCAGACAGAACCUGAUGUCUUCUCCCUUGAAAUCUGGACCCGCCUCCUCUUACAGGCUGGGAGUCUCCUCUGCCACAUCUACUCAGUCCUUGGUCAGCAUAGACUCACCUCGUGGAUUGCUAGUGGCUUUAUCCCAUUUGCUACUGCCAUGAUUCAGGUCCCACAGUUUUUCUUCUGUGUGACUACAGAGGCCACUCCUCCUGGCCUCUUUUCCUCCAUUCCACACAAGGCUGCUGAGCGAGCUUUUCAAACCAUGACUGUCUCAGAAAACCCACUGUCUUCAGAAUAAAGUGGAAACUGCUGAUAUGGUCCCCCACUCCCGUACCUCUAAUGACGGCUAGGUUCAACCAAGACCUCGUUGGCUUGCUACACAGAUACAUAUAAACCAAGCCAUGGUGCGUCUGAGGGGCCGGGCUCAGCCAGACUGGUGGUUCCUCAUGCUGGGACAAUGCAAACAAUCGGACCCCUGCUACCCUCCCCACAAGUGUCAGACCAGCCUCGGGCCUUUGCUCCAUGGUCCUCAACUGAGGAGAGAAUGUGAGCGACCUGUUUAAGGUGACCGUAUAUAUGUUAUCUAUUUCAUACCAAUUUUUAGAAAAGGUGGUUCAGUGGCCGGGCACGGUGGCUCACGUUUAUAAUCCCAGCACUUUGGGAGGCCAAGGCGGGUGGAUCACGAGGUCAGGAGUUCAAGACCAGCCUGACCACUAAAAAUACAAAAAUUAGCCGGGCGCGGUGACACACGCCUGUAAUCCCAGCUACUCAGGAGACUGAGGCUGGAGAAUCACUUGAACCUGAGAGGCAGAGGUUGCAGUGAGCCAAGAUUGGGCCACUGCACUCCAGCCUGGGCAACAGAGUGAGAUUCCAACUCAAAAAAAAAAAAAAAGAAAAGGUGGCUUGGGUCACUCCAGUGAGAGCUGCCAUCCCCAUGGCCUCCAGACGGUCUCCAGACUGCCUUGCAGAGGUCAUCCCAUCCACCUAGCUGGAGCCUUCCUUUUUCACGGACUCUACAGGUGUUUUGGUAAAGUUUGGGCUCCUACAUACAGUCCCCCAAUCUGCAUACCUCAGAGGUUUCUCCAGGCUCUGGGCACAGGUAGGUGCUCCUUUGUUUAGGGGAGGCUUCCUCAGGACAGAGGGAAGAGGCCACCCAGCCCUGAGGUCAGUACCCCUAGGGAAGCCCAGAAGCUGCCCAUCACCCAGAUUGAGAAGGGAUCUGGGUGAUGUCCAAGGUGGCCUCUUGUGCUCACGGCCCCCGUGGACCUCCCAGUGGAUAAGGCCUUGAUGCAUAUGCUCCUGUCCAUUGCAGUCAGCACAUGGCUGAGAUUCACAAUGGGAGAGCUGCCCAAUGGGAGUCUUUGUCCAAGAACAAGUGUUCAUUAUGAUGACUCCCAGCUCUACUUUCUCUAUGGUAAUAGAUGAUAGCUUAGGUUGGUCCCCUUUGAAGAACUGACUGUAGAGCAAACAAAUACUUGGGGGGAACAUAAAAUAAGAUUAUAAUUCAUAUUCUCAGAAUGAUUCCAUAAUAAAAAAGAAGCUUUGGACAUUUUAAUAUUACUUGUGAAAAUAAAAACCCAAAUGUCACAGCCAAGAGGAGACAAGACAACUACAUGUAAUAUAGUGUGAUGAAUGGGAUCCUGGAACAAAAAGUGGACAUUAGGUAAAAACUAAGACAAUCUGGGUAAAGUGUGGAUUUUGUAUCAAAAUUGCUUCAAUGAUGAUAACAAAGGUACCACACUAAUGUAACUGUUAAUAAUAAACUUAUGUGGGAUAUAUGGGAACUAUCUGUACCAUCUUUGCAAUUUUUCUAUCAAUAUGAAAUUAUUCUAAAAUAAAAACUGUUUAAAAAGCAGCAACAGAAGGGGUAAACUAUAAAGAUAUGAUAUUUCAGAAUGUGGGGCCAAGGGCAGAGAAAAACAAAGGAAAGGUGAAAUGUAGAGAUUCCAUCGGUUCUAGAUCUAGAGAACAGAGAUCACGGAGAGGAGAUGAAGAGGGUUGGUAGGAUGAGAUAGUAUUAAAAGAAGACAGGAAAGGCAGAGAUUUCCCACAGUUAAAGGACUUCAGGCCCGUCGCAGUGGUUCAUGCCUUUAAUCCCAGCACUUUGGGAGGCCAAGGCGGGCGAAUCACGAGGUCAGGAGUUCGAGACCAGCCGGGCCAACAUGGCGAAACCCCGUCUCUACCAAAAUACAAAAAUUAGCUGGGCAUGGUGGCAGACGCCUGUAAUCCCAGCUACUUGGGAGGCUGAGGCAGGAGAAUUGCUUGAACCCAGAAGGCAGAGGUUGCAGUGAGCUGAGCUCACACCAAUGCACUCCAGUCUGGGUGACAGAGCGAGACUCUAUCUCAAAAAAAAAAAGAAAAAGGGUAAGGACAUGCGGAGAUAGGCUCUCUCACACAAAUGAAUGAGUCUAUAAAUUGGUGGAAACUUCUUGGAGGGCAAUUUGCCAGAAUCUGAUAACACCGUAAAAUAUGUACAUCCUCUCCCUGGUUCUCAGUAUCUACCUUAGAGAAAUACCCACCUACAGGUGCACAAAGAGGAAUGCUCAAGAACUUUCAUUGCAGCAUUGUUUGUAACAUGGAAAAAAAUCUAAAAGUCCAUCAAGGGAGUGCUUCUAAUUUUUAAGACAAUUUAAGCAGAGUCUCACUGUGUUGCCCAGGCUGGUCUUGAACUCCUGGGCUCAAGCCAAAGGAAUGCUUCUACACUUUGACAUAGUAUUCAGCAGUGAAAAGAAUGUAAUAGAACUUGGUGGGCCACCAUGGAAAUAUCUCUAAGACAUCUGUUAAGUGAGAAAAGCAAGUUGCAUGGAGUUAUGUGCAGUUUGAUCCAAUUAUGUAAAAGAGAAAAGAAUGCAAAAUAUAUAUUUUAUAUGUACAUAUAAGUACCAAUUAAUAGAAAAAAUGUCUCAAAGGAUGCAUACCAGAAUGACAGCAAUGAUUAAUUACCUUGCAAGAGUUUUCAGAGGCUGGGCAUGAUGGCUCAUACCUAUAAUCUUAGCACUUUGGGAGGCUGAGACAGGAGGAUCGCUUGAGCCCAGGAGUUUGAGAUCAGCCUGGGCAACAUGGAGAGACUACAUCUCUACAAAAAUAAAUUAGCUAGGUGUGGUGGCAGGCACCUCUUGUCCCAGCUAUUCAGGAAGCUGAGGUGGGAAGGUUGCUUGAGCUCAGGAGUUUGAGGCUGCAGUGAGCUAUGAUGACACCACUGCACUCCAUCCUGGGUGACAGAGCGAGACCCUGUCUUUAAAAAAAAAAAGAACAAAAAAAUGUAAAAAAAGAGUUUGCAGGGAGGCAGGGAAGAUGAAGGGGUAUUAGAAUAUGGACGUUUUUGUUUUAUCAGGAUUGUUUAUUUUUAUUUAUGUAUUUAUUUAUUUAAUUAUUGAGGCAGAGUCUCGCUCUGUCACCCAGGCUGGAGUACAAGUGGCACGAUCUUGGCUCACUGAAACCUCCACCUCCUCUCAGCCUCCCGAGUAGCAGGGAUUACAGGCAACCGCCACCACACCCAGCUAAUUUUUGUAUUUUUAGUAGAAACUGGAUUUCACCAUGUUGGCCAUGCUGGUCUCUAACUCCUGACCUCAGGUGAUCCACCCCCCUCGGCCUCCCAAAGUGCUGGGAUUACAGGCGUGAGCCACAGUGCCCGGCCUUAUCAGGAUUGUUUAAAUCUUCUACAGUGAAAUUUAUCUACUUAAUCUAAAAAUUAUAUAAUGUUGUUAAUUGGUGUUUUCAACAUGUAAAAUCAAUUUGUAAAUAAAGGACUGAACAGAAUGUAAAGGUUGUCAGGCCUGAGAACGCACAGGUAAGGAUGUAGCUGGUAGAGGUGGUAGAUGAGGGGUGUCUCAUUGUCUGGCUUCAGCUGGUGAAACACUGAGACACUCCCUAAAGCUUGGGGAGCAGGAAAUAGAGAUUUUAGUGUAUCGUUUAAAUUUGCAAAAUUAACAAAAAGAACUGAAAUUACCAGUGCACGUAUUACAAUUGGUGGGGGAUAGGGAAUGAAAUGCCAAGUGAAGGGGAAAGAGCUAAAUUCUUGUCUUUCACAACAGGGAGCCAGUAGAUAUUGUCCAAGUUAAGAAUCCUAACUUAGAGUUCAAGGCUAGCCUGGGCAACAUGGUGAAACCUUGUCUCUACAAAAAAAAAAACCCACAAAAAUUAGGUGGGAGUGGUGGUGUGUGCCUAUAGUCCUACCUACUCGGGGGGCUCAGGCGGGAGGAUCGCUUGAGCCCAGGAGGCAGAGGUUGCAGUGAGCCGAGAUCAUGCCACUGUACUCCAGCCUGGGCGACAGAGUGAGACCCUGUCUAAAAAUAAAAAAUUUA